rnacentral:rRNA from 1 species
CGGACGGGUGAGUAACGCGUGGGUAACCUGCCUCAUACAGGGGGAUAACAGUUAGAAAUGGCUGCUAAUACCGCAUAAGCGCACAGGACCGCAUGGUCUGGUGUGAAAAACUCCGGUGGUAUGAGAUGGACCCGCGUCUGAUUAGCUAGUUGGAGGGGUAACGGCCCACCAAGGCAACGAUCAGUAGCCGGCCUGAGAGGGUGAACGGCCACAUUGGGACUGAGACACGGCCCAG